rnacentral:sRNA from 1 species
UUGAGAAAUCGGGAAAACGAGAAAUCGAGAAAUUGGGGAAUCGGGAAAUCGAGAAAGCUUUCGUGUGUUUGCGUUUUUGCUUUCAUGUUUUCGUGUUUUCGCGUUUUUGCUAUCUCGAUUUCUCGAUUUCUCGAUUUCCCGAUUUCCCGAUUUCUCAAU